rnacentral:rRNA from 1 species
GAUGAACGCUGGCGGCGUGCCUAAUACAUGCAAGUCGAGCGAACGGACGAGAAGCUUGCUUCUCUGAUGUUAGCGGCGGACGGGUGAGUAACACGUGGAUAACCUACCUAUAAGACUGGGAUAACUUCGGGAAACCGUAGCUAAUACCGGAUAAUAUUUUGAACCGCAUGGUUCAAAAGUGAAAGACGGUCUUGCUGUCACUUAUAGAUGGAUCCGCGCUGCAUUAGCUAGUUGGUAAGGUAACGGCUUACCAAGGCAACGAUGCAUAGCCGACCUGAGAGGGUGGUCGGCCAGCCUGGAACUGAGAAACGGUCCAGACUCCUACGGGAGGCAGCAGUAGGGAAUCUUCCGCAAUGGGCGAAAGCCUGACGGAGCAACGCCGCGUGAGUGAUGAAGGUCUUCGGAUCGUAAAACUCUGUUAUUAGGGAAGAACAUAUGUGUAAGUAACUGUGCACAUCUUGACGGUACCUAAUCAGAAAGCCACGGCUAACUACGUG